rnacentral:antisense_RNA from 1 species
GAUGACAGUGUGCACCACCACACACAGCUAAUUUUUUUUUUUGGUAUUGCUGUGUUGCCCAGGCUGGUCUCAAACUCCUGGACUCGAGUGAUCUUCCCUUCUCAGCCUCUCAAAGUGCUGGAAUUACAGGCAUGAGCCACUGUGCCCAGCCAGAGAAAUAACCAUGGAUAUGGGUAGAGACAGAGCCAUAUGGAAUGCACACCGCAGUGGAGAACACAUGGCCCAGCUCUGCCAUCAAGGAAAAGGAACAUGAAUGGAGCUGGAGGCCAUCAUCCUUAGUAAACUAACACAGGAGCAGAAAACCAAAUACCACAUGUUCUCACUUGUAAGUGGGAGCUAAAUGAUGAGAACACAUGGACACAAAGAGGGGAACAACAGACACUGAAGCCUCCUUGAGGGAGGAGGGUAAGAGGAAGGAGAAGAUCAGAAAAGAUAACUACCAGGUACUAUGGUAGCUUAGUACCUGGGUGAUGAAAUAAUCUGUACACCCAACCCCCAUGACACAAGUUUACCUAUGUAACAAACCUGCACAUGUAUCCCUGAAACUAAAAGUUUUUUAAAAAGUUAUUUAAUAUAUAUAUAUAUAUAUUUUUUUUUUUUUUUUUUGAGAUGGAGUUUUGCUCUUGUUGCCCAGGCUGGAGUGCGGUGGUGCAAUCUCGGCUCACCACAACCUCCACCUCCCAGGUUCAAGCGAUUCCCCUGCCUCAGCCUCCCUAGUAGCUGGGAUUAUAGGCUUGUGCCACCACGCCCGGCUAAUUUUGUAUUUUUUUUAGUAGAGACGGGGUUUCUCCAUGUUGGUCAGGCUGGUCUCGAACUCCCGACCUCAGGUGAUCCACCCGCCUCGGCCUCCCAAAGUGCUAGGAUUACAGGCAUGAGCCACUGCACCCGGCAAAAAGUUAUUUAAUAUUAAUGGGACAAUACUCAUUGCAAGAAUCAAACUUCAAUUGCUAGCAUAAGUAAAUGACAGGCAGGAGAUAUUGAAAAUGCAAUCUUAUAGACAUUCAAGGAGAGGACGCAGGACAUUUCUGUGUCAUAAAUGUACUAUGGAAAAUAAAAAUGAGAAAAAUUGAAAUAAAAUACAAGAAAAGGUUAUGAUGAUAAAUUUCAUAUUAUUUUACCACAAUAAAAAAAAUUUUAAUU